rnacentral:rRNA from 1 species
CCCUAGUUCGGAUUGUAGGCUGAAACUCGCCUACAUGAAGCUGGAAUUGCUAGUAAUCACAGGUCAGCAUACUGUGGUGAAUACGUUCCCGGGCCUUGUACACACCGCCCGUCACACCAUGAGAGUUGAGAAUACCCGAAGCCCAUGUCAAAGUGGUCGAAGGUAGGCUUGAUGAUUGGGGUGAAGUCGUAACAAGGUACC